GACGUCAUAAAGCCGCGCGGCACUCCUUCGUCUCUGUCAGCUGAAGAAAGAACAACCUCCUUGACAGCAACCAAUCUGGCUUCAGAUGUGAACAUUCAACUGAGACUGCCUUUAUUGAAGCCCUGUGCCUGGCAAGAGCGGAAUCCAAUUCUUCAAUACUUAUCUUGCUUGAUCUGUCCGAUGAUUUUGACACUGUUAACCACCAGAUCGUUCCAUCAACCCUACUGACAAAGGGCAUCUUAGGAACCACACUUCAGUGUUUUGAGUCUUAGCUAUCAGAUAGGUCCUUCAAAGUAUCUUGGAGAGGUGUCCAAUUUGCAACAUCUAACUACUGGGGUUCCUCAAGGCUCAGUGCUUGGACCACUUUUCUUCUCUGUCUACAUGGAAUCAUUAGGUUCUGUCAUUCAGAAACAUGGCUUUUCAUACCACUGCUAUGCUGAUGACACUUAACUAUACCUCUCAUUCCAUCCUGAUGAUCCGACGGUAGCUGCUCGCAUCUCAGCUUGUCAAGACGCAUCACAGCUUGCCAAGACAGAACUGCUUGUGGUUCCAGCAAACCUAUCGUUUCAUCACAAUAUCACCACCAAGUUGGGCACAUUAACCAUAACUCCUUCAAAAACAGCUAGAAGCCUGAUUUUCUCAGCUCACAUUGCAAAAAUUGUCCGGUCCUGUAGAUUUGUUUUAUUUAACAUCAAGAAGAUCAGGCCCUUUCUUUCUGAACAUGCUGCACAACUCCUUGUUCAAGCUCUUGUUCUGUCCAGGCUGGACUAUUGCAAUGCUCUCAUAGCAGGUCUUCCAGCCAGUUCUAUCAAACUUUUACAAUUAAUCCAGAACGCUGCAGCAAGAUUAAUUUUUAAUGAGCCGAAAAGAAUACACACCUAAUGGCACUGAAAGAGGAGAGUGAAGUACUCAAUGAAAUGGAAGAGAAAGAUUGUGAUUUCAUAAAUGGAGAAACAUCUUUGAGUUGUUCACAGACUGAAAAGACUUCCUCAAGAAAAAGGACUCAGAAGACAGGAGAGAAGCUAUACACAUGCCAACAAUGUAAAAGGAGUUUUACUCAACCUAGAUACCUGGAAGUCCACAUGAGAGUUCACACAGGAGAGAAACCUUAUACCUGCCAACAGUGUGGAAAGCAUUUCGGUCAUAGAGUAACUCUUAAAAGACACAUUAGAAUUCACACUGGAGAGAAGCCAUACACAUGCCAGCAGUGUGGAAGGAGUUUCAUUCAACCUGGUCAACUUGGAGCCCACAUGAGUGUUCACACUGGAGAGAAACCUUACAAAUGCAAACAGUGUGGAAGAAGUUUCAGCCUGAAAGGAAAUCUUAAUUGCCAUAUAAGAAUUCAUACUGGAGAGCAGCCUUACACACAUGAUCAGUGUGGAAAGAGUUUUGAUCAACAUGACAUCCUUGAAGUCCACAUGAGAACUCGGAGAGAAAAAUCCUACAUAUGCCCCGAGUGCGGAAAGUGGUUUAAUCAUAAACGACGCUUUGAAGACCACAUAAGAAUUCACACUGGAGAGAAGCCUUUCACCUGCCAAGAUUGUGGAAAAUGUUUCCGCCAAAAAGGAAACCUUGACAGGCACAUGACAGUUCACACUGGAGAGAAGCCGUUUAUAUGUUGUCACUGCGGAAAGAGUUACAGAUAUACAGCAGGACUCAAGUACCACAUGAGGUUUCACAAAUGAGAGAACCAUACUUUUACAUUAUAAGUGUGACAUGAGUCAUGUAAUGACACCAGAGAAAAGCCUUUGUUGUGCAAUCACUGAGGAAAGACUUGCAAAAACAAGACAAACACCACUGAUAUAAUUAAAAAAAGCUAAGCAGUGGAUUUGUUAACACCCGUGUAUGAAAUGGGUUUUGUUCGGUCGGAUCAUUAAUAUACCGUCUCUGUAUCACUUCUUUCCCCAUUUUUUUUAAUGUUUUAUUUUAUGCUGUAAAGCCCUUUGGACACCUGCUGCUAUUGCAAAUGGUGCUAUAAAAAUCUAACUUGAUCUUGAAACUUGAAUGAAAGAUCUGAAAGAUCCCAUGCAUUUAAAUAAAUAAAAUAUGCUUGUGCAAUUUACAUAAAAACUUAAGCCUAGAGUUAAAAAUAAAAUAUAGACUUAAGCAGUGCCUAGUGAAAGUAAAAAGGAAUCAAUAAAUUGAGAAGGGGGUGAAUUAACAACAAUAGUGCGAUAUAAAGAGGUUUAUGAUGUAAAAAAUUUAAUUGCAUUAACAAAUUAGUUGAAACAAGCAGAUAAGAUCAAGUGUGCAAAGUACUUAAGGAUGGAGCACUGAUGGUAAUAUGUAUUAGUGAACAGCAGAAGAAUAAUGUGAUUUAAAAAUAAAGUUUAAGUUAAAUGAAAAUACUAUGUGAUGUCAUAGUCCAGCUCAGUUCAAAUAAUAUCUGUGCAAUCAAGUCUACGAUAUCGCUGGAAAUGAAGUGUCCCCAACUAAACAAGACAAAGAUGCCAAGGAACCAAGACUUCAUCAGUGACAGAAUGGAGGAAAUAAAACCUUGGGAGAAAUCAGGCUCAGUUUGAGGGGCCAGUUCUUCUUCGACCAAACGAAACCAGCUGUUCAGUUCCAGGCUGCAGCAAAGUCAGAUUGUGCAGAGUACUCAACGGGUUUCUGUGGUCUUGACCCCCGUGGCCGUCUAGGAGACAAGGUCUUCACUGGGAAUCUCUCCGGGGCUCAUCUAGUUGUACUGGUCUCCACUGACAUACAGGGUGACUUCGUUGACCCUGACUUUGAACAUUUGACUAAUAGUAGUGUAGAGUACAUCCGGUUUUAUUGGAAGUGUUACCAGUUCCAGUUGACCUAAUUAAUCCAGCCUAACAAUCCUUUAAUGGGGUUUGUUAGUGUGUUAUGUGUAUGCUGGUUAAAGAGAUGGGUCUUUAAUUUAUAUUUAGACUGACAUCAUUUCUUGGCCUCCCAAACAAUGUUAAGUAGGUUAUUCCAGAGUUUUGGCACUAAAUAAGAAAAGGAUCUGCCACCCGUAGUUUAUUUUGAUAUUCUAGUUAUCAUCAAAUUGCCAGAGUUUUGAGAGCACAGGGUACGUGGAGGACUAUAAGUAGUACUAAUAAAGAGAUACAACCACGAUCCGAUGAUAAGAGCAGGUCAUUUGUAACUCUAAGGAGAACAGUCCCAGUACUAUGAUAUGGUCUAUGGCUCCUGGACUGUGCCCAGCUGGUGGAAUGACCUCCCAAUCUCAAUUCGUACAGCUUUGAGUCUUUACUCAUUUUCCAGAAACAUCUAAAGACUCAUCUUUUUCGCCAGCACUUAACCAACUAAUACUAGCACUUUUUCUCUUCUUGUCUUUUAAUUUAAAAAACAAAAAAACCUGGCUAUGAGUUCUGUACUAGACUAACUGAGACUUGUCAUGACACUUGUGUACUGUUGUUGUUCUCUUGUUGACCUGACUGCUUCUAUUGUUCUCAUUUGUAAGUUGCUUUGGAUAAAAGCAUCUGCUAAAUGAUUAAAUGUAAAAUGUCUAGGAUCUUGGACAGUAAAGGGAGAUUGAAGAACGGUCUGUAAUUAACUAGUUAUUUGGGGUCUAGUUGUGGUUUCUUGAUGAGAGGCUUAAUAACAGCCAGUUUGAAGGUUUUGGGACAUAUUCUAAUGACAAUGAGGAAUUAAUAAUUGUCAGAAGAGGAUCUAUGACUUCUGGUAGCACCUUUUUAGGAGCUUAGACAGUAUAGUGUCUUAAGAUACAUGUUGUUGGUUUAUAUCAGAGGUCCCCAACUACCGGGCCGUGGCCCACUACUGGGCCGUGAAAGAAUUGCUACCGGGUUGCAAGAACGUUCUGGGGAAAUUGUGUAUAGAUAUGACAUUUAUUGCGUUAAUGAUUGUUCUAAUUAUUCAAUAUUUUCAUUGUAUGUGAUUGAAAUGUAGUAGCAAUUGGAUGAUUUCAUGUUAAAUAAGUAAAUGUAUCUAAUUGCUCUGA